rnacentral:rRNA from 1 species
UACAGAGGUCCCGAGCGUUGUUCGGAUUCAUUGGGCGUAAAGGGUGCGUAGGCGGCGGGGCAAGUCUGAUGUGAAAUCCCGGGGCUCAACCCCGGAACUGCAUUGGAUACUGCCUUGCUAGAGUACUGGAGAGGGAACUGGAAUUUACGGUGUAGCAGUGAAAUGCGUAGAGAUCGUAAGGAAGGCCAGUGGCGAAGGCGGCCAUCUGGAUCAACACUGACGCUGAGGCACGAAAGCGUGGGGAGCAAACAGG